GUAGCAAUACGUCAGUGGCAGACGGGUGAGUAACGCGUGGGAACGUACCUUUUGGUUCGGAACAACACAGGGAAACUUGUGCUAAUACCGGAUAAGCCCUUACGGGGAAAGAUUUAUCGCCGAAAGAUCGGCCCGCGUCUGAUUAGCUAGUUGGUGAGGUAACGGCUCACCAAGGCGACGAUCAGUAGCUGGUCUGAGAGGAUGAUCAGCCACAUUGGGACUGAGACACGGCCCAAACUCCUACGGGAGGCAGCAGUGGGGAAUAUUGGACAAUGGGGGCAACCCUGAUCCAGCCAUGCCGCGUGAGUGAUGAAGGCCCUAGGGUUGUAAAGCUCUUUUGUGCGGGAAGAUAAUGACGGUACCGCAAGAAUAAGCCCCGGCUAACUUCGUGCCAGCAGCCGCGGUAAUACGAAGGGGGCUAGCGUUGCUCGGAAUCACUGGGCGUAAAGGGUGCGUAGGC
rnacentral:rRNA from 1 species